rnacentral:rRNA from 1 species
AUUGAACGCUGGCGGCAUGCCUUACACAUGCAAGUCGAACGGUAACAGGUCUUCGGAUGCUGACGAGUGGCGAACGGGUGAGUAAUACAUCGGAACGUGCCCGAUCGUGGGGGAUAACGAAGCGAAAGCUUUGCUAAUACCGCAUAAGAUCUACGGAUGAAAGCAGGGGACCGCAAGGCCUUGCGCGAACGGAGCGGCCGAUGGCAGAUUAGGUAGUUGGUGGGAUAAAAGCUUACCAAGCCGACGAUCUGUAGCUGGUCUGAGAGGACGACCAGCCACACUGGAACUGAGACACGGCCCAGACUCCUACGGGAGGCAGCAGUGGGGAAUUUUGGACAAUGGGCGAAAGCCUGAUCCAGCCAUGCCGCGUGCAGGAUGAAGGCCUUCGGGUUGUAAACUGCUUUUGUACGGAACGAAAAGACUCUGGUUAAUACCUGGGGUCCAUGACGGUACCGUAAGAAUAAGCACCGGCUAACUACGUG